rnacentral:tRNA from 2 species
GGAGACGUUUCGUCACCGGUGUGGCGCCCGGUCUUCAAAACCGGUGGCAGGCUUUACGGUCUGCGGUAGGUUCGACCCCUAUACGUCUCCGCCA